rnacentral:rRNA from 1 species
AUGAACGCUAGCUACAGGCUUAACACAUGCAAGUCGAGGGGCAGCAUUUUAGUUUGCUUGCAAACUGAAGAUGGCGACCGGCGCACGGGUGAGUAACACGUAUCCAACCUGCCGAUAACUCCGGAAUAGCCUUUCGAAAGAAAGAUUAAUACCGGAUAGUAUACGAAUAUCGCAUGAUAUUUUUAUUAAAGAAUUUCGGUUAUCGAUGGGGAUGCGUUCCAUUAGUUUGUUGGCGGGGUAACGGCCCACCAAGACUACGAUGGAUAGGGGUUCUGAGAGGAAGGUCCCCCACAUUGGAACUGAGACACGGUCCAAACUCCUACGGGAGGCAGCAGUGAGGAAUAUUGGUCAAUGGGCGAGAGCCUGAACCAGCCAAGUAGCGUGAAGGAUGAAGGCUCUAUGGGUCGUAAACUUCUUUUAUAUGGGAAUAAAGUUUUCCACGUGUGGAAUUUUGUAUGUACCAUAUGAAUAAGGAUCGGCUAACUCCGUGCCAGCAGCCGCGGUAAUACGGAGGAUCCGAGCGUUAUCCGGAUUUAUUGGGUUUAAAGAGAGCGUAGGUGGAUUGUUAAGUCAGUUGUGAAAGUUUGCGGCUCAACCGUAAAAUUGCAGUUGAAACUGGGAGUCUUGAGUACAGUAGAGGUGGGCGGAAUUCGUGGUGUAGCGGUGAAAUGCUUAGAUAUCACGAAGAACUCCGAUUGCGAAGGCAGCUCACUAGACUGUCACUGACACUGAUGCUCGAAAGUGUGGGUAUCAAACAGGAUUAGAUACCCUGGUAGUCCACACAGUAAACGAUGAAUACUCGCUGUUUGCGAUAUACAGUAAGCGGCCAAGCGAAAGCAUUAAGUAUUCCACCUGGGGAGUACGCCGGCAACGGUGAAACUCAAAGGAAUUGACGGGGGCCCGCACAAGCGGAGGAACAUGUGGUUUAAUUCGAUGAUACGCGAGGAACCUUACCCGGGCUUAAAUUGCAACAGAAUAUAUUGGAAACAGUAUAGCCGUAAGGCUGUUGUGAAGGUGCUGCAUGGUUGUCGUCAGCUCGUGCCGUGAGGUGUCGGCUUAAGUGCCAUAACGAGCGCAACCCUUAUCUUUAGUUACUAACAGGUCAUGCUGAGGACUCUAGAGAGACUGCCGUCGUAAGAUGUGAGGAAGGUGGGGAUGACGUCAAAUCAGCACGGCCCUUACGUCCGGGGCUACACACGUGUUACAAUGGGGGGUACAGAAGGCGGCUACCUGGUGACAGGAUGCUAAUCCCAAAAACCUCUCUCAGUUCGGAUCGAAGUCUGCAACCCGACUUCGUGAAGCUGGAUUCGCUAGUAAUCGCGCAUCAGCCAUGGCGCUGUGAAUACGUUCCCGGGCCUUGUACACACCGCCCGUCAAGCCAUGAAAGCCGGGGGUACCUGAAGUACGUAACCGCAAGGAGCGUCCUAGGGUAAAACUGGUAAUUGGGGCU